UCGCACGUACGGUUCUUAGAGGGGGAAAGCUCGAGAGAGCCUACCUAUCUCGACUAUUUAAUUCGAUAAUCCGCGAAAAAUCUUACCACAAUUUGUAUAAUAUUAAAUUAUUACAAGGUUGCACGGCUGUCUGCAGUUAAUGUCGUGAGACAUGGUUAAUUCCUUUAAUUAACGCAAACCCUUACUUUAUUUAUCUAUAUAAAGUAACUCGCUAAAAAAAUGGUUAGAGAAUAGGGACCAAGACAAGUCAUCAUGACCAUAAUAUUGUGGGCUAUAGACGUGCCACACAUGCCUUAACAAAAGGAUGCUAUAUUGUAAAAUGGAGCUAAUCCUUAAAAUAGGAUAUAAUAUGGAUUGUUGUCUGUAACUCGACAACAUGAAUAAGGAAUUACUAGUAAUCGUGAAUCACCACGUCACGGUGAAUUUAUAAUCAGUUAGGUACUAACCACUCGUCAGGCGCUGAAAGAAGUAUGUGCAAUAAGUUUGAUUUGUGUUUAUUUUAAUAAAUAUUAUAAUAUAUUUAUAUUUUACAUUAAAUUUUCGUAUGUAUGACUUUAAUUGGUGUUAAGUCGCAAUAAGGUUCGUGUAAUGGAAAUUGCACGGG
rnacentral:ncRNA from 1 species